rnacentral:rRNA from 1 species
UACGAAGGGGGCUAGCGUUGCUCGGAAUCACUGGGCGUAAAGCGUGCGCAGGCGGUUCGUUGUGUCGGCGGUGAAAGCCCCGGGCUCAACCUGGGAAUGGCCGUUGAAACUGGCGAACUGGAGUGUGGCAGAGGGGGGUGGAAUUCCGCGUGUAGCAGUGAAAUGCGUAGAGAUGCGGAGGAACACCGAUGGCGAAGGCAGCCCCCCUGGGCUGACACUGACGCUCAGGCACGAAAGCGUGGGGAGCAAACAGG